rnacentral:rRNA from 1 species
GCAGUCGAACGAUGAAACUUAGUAGACUUCUUCGGAAAGACACUAAGUGGAUUAGUGGCGAACGGGUGAGUAACGCGUGAGUAACCUGCCUUACACAAGGGGAUAGCCUUUGGAAACGAAGAAUAAUACCCUAUAAAACCAUAAAAGCACAUGCUAGAAUGGUCAAAGUGAUAGCGGUGUAAGAUGGACUUGCGUCUGAUUAGCUAGUUGGUGAGAUAAAAGCUCACCAAGGCAACGAUCAGUAGCCGGCUUGAGAGAGUGUACGGCCACAUUGGGACUGAGACACGGCCCAGACUCCUACGGGAGGCAGCAGUGGGGAAUUUUGCACAAUGGGGGAAACCCUGAUGCAGCGACGCCGCGUGAUUUAGAAGGCCUUCGGGUUGUAAAAAUCUUUUGUAUAGGAAGAAAAUGACAGUACUAUACGAAUAAGGUCCGGCUAAUUACGUGCCAGCAGCCGCGGUAAUACGUAAGGACCGAGCGUUGUCCGGAAUCAUUGGGCGUAAAGGGUACGUAGGCGGCUAGAAAAGUUAGAAGUCAAAGGCUAUAGCUCAACUAUAGUAAGCUUCUAAAACUAUUUAGCUUGAGAAAUGGAAGGGAAAGUGGAAUUCCUAGUGUAGCGGUGGAAUGCGCAGAUAUUAGGAAGAAUACCGGUGGCGAAGGCGACUUUCUGGCCAUUAUCUGACGCUGAGGUACGAAAGCGUGGGUAGCAAACAGGAUUAGAUACCCUGGUAGUCCACGCCGUAAACGAUGAGUGUUAGGUGUCUGGAGUCAAAUCUGGGUGCCGCAGCAAACGCAUUAAACACUCCGCCUGGGGAGUACGCACGCAAGUGUGAAACUCAAAGGAAUUGACGGGGACCCGCACAAGCAGCGGAGCAUGUGGGUUUAAUUCGACGCAACGCGAAGAACCUUACCAAGUCUUGACAUAUUAC